AGCAGCCGCGGUAAUUCCAGCUCCAAUAGCGUAUAUUAAAGUUGUUGCAGUUAAAAAGCUCGUAGUUGAAUUUCGGGAUUAGUACGUUGGUCGUGCCUUCGGUACGUACUGGUGUUACUGAUUCCUACCUUCUGACGAACCAUCAUGUCAUUUAUUUGGUGUGGCGGGGAAUCAGGACUGUUACUUUGAAAAAUUAGAGUGUUUAAAGCAGGCUCGCGCUUGAAUACAUUAGCAUGGAAUAAUGAAAUAGGACGUUGACCCUAUUUUGUUGGUUUCUAGGAUCAACGUAAUGAUUAAUAGGGAUAGUUGGGGGCAUUAGUAUUCAAUUGUCAGAGGUGAAAUUCUUGGAUUUAUUGAAGACUAACUACUGCGAAAGCAUUUGCCAAGGAUGUUUUCAUUAAUCAAGAACGAAAGUUAGGGGAUCGAAGACGAUCAGAUACCGUCGUAGUCUUAACCAU
rnacentral:rRNA from 1 species